rnacentral:rRNA from 1 species
UAGAGUUUGAUCCUGGCUCAGAUUGAACGCUGGCGGCAUGCUUUACACAUGCAAGUCGAACGGCAGCACGGGUGCUUGCACCUGGUGGCGAGUGGCGAACGGGUGAGUAAUGCACCGGAACGUAUCCAAUAAUGGGGGAUAACGCACCGAAAGGUGUGCUAAUACCGCAUACGCCCUGAGGGGGAAAGCGGGGGAUCGUAAGACCUCGCGUUAAUGGAGCGGCCGAUGCCGGAUUAGCUAGUUGGUGAGGUAAAGGCUCACCAAGGCGACGAUCCGUAGCUGGUCUGAGAGGACGACCAGCCACACUGGGACUGAGACACGGCCCAGACUCCUACGGGAGGCAGCAGUGGGGAAUUUUGGACAAUGGGCGCAAGCCUGAUCCAGCCAUGCCGCGUGAGUGAAGAAGGCCUUCGGGUUGUAAAGCUCUUUCGCAAGGAAAGAAAACUUAUCCACUAAUACUGGGUGAGGAUGACGGUACCUUGAUAAGAAGCACCGGCUAACUACGUGCCAGCAGCCGCGGUAAUACGUAGGGUGCGAGCGUUAACCGGAAUUACUGGGCGUAAAGCGUGCGCAGGCGGUUUCGUAAGUCAGAUGUGAAAUCCCCGGGCUCAACCUGGGAACUGCGUUUGAAACUGCGAGGCUAGAGUGUAGAAGAGGGGGGUAGAAUUCCACGUGUAGCAGUGAAAUGCGUAGAGAUGUGGAGGAAUACCGAUGGCGAAGGCAGCCCCCUGGGCUAACACUGACGCUCAUGCACGAAAGCGUGGGGGGCAAACAGGAUUAGAUACCCUGGUAGUCCACGCCCUAAACGAUGUCUACUAGUUGUUGGGAGAGUAAAAUCUCUUAGUAACGCAGCUAACGCGUGAAGUAGACCGCCUGGGGAGUACGGCCGCAAGGUUAAAACUUAAAGGAAUUGACGGA